GCGCUUCCUGUGCCAGCCCUGCGGGUGCGGGAGCUGCAGGCAGCCUGGUUCCAGGUCCCAGCCCUGGAGGAGCUCGGUAAGUGACCUGUUUAGGCUUUGAAACUGGGCUUAAUCCCAUCUCAAAUGCGAGUUCAGGCACCAGAUGCCACGCCCAGCCUGCCGUCAAGGCCUAACGUGGCUCAGAAAGUUUGGCGGACACACUUUGAAGCACUGUGCGGUGACUGGGGACAGCGAACGGUGACUCCCCUCGCCCCUCCCUGGGAGGACAGCAGAGCCUUGAGCCAGACUGUGGGUUAGACGCUCAGCCACACCACAGGCUGUGAGGGCGGGCACAUCCCUCAGCGUCUCUAAGUCACCGCACAGCUGACCCAGCCUCUCGCUCUAAAGGAGUUUGUUAAUCGUCAACUGUCAGCGCCAUCUUCCCCAGGGACCUGUCGUGUCUGCUCUGCAUGGGUUUAAAAAGUUCAGAGGCAACUUCAGAACCGGCGGACUUCACCUCGGAGUCUGCGCUUGCGCGCCUCCCGAGGAAGCAGAGGCCGCGCCCAGGACGCGCAGCGCUUCCUGCCGCCCGUGGCCUGCCCGAGCCGGUGGCUGUAGCAACGGUUCCCGGACGGGGCCUGGGGGGCCCUGUGCCGGCCCUCAGCGCACCAAGCCCGUGGAAGGAGGGUGUGGGUGGGGCUUGCCUGCGACUCCUCCUCCUUUUCCAUCCAGAAAGUCCCGGCGCUGCCCCCUCGUCCCUGGGAGGGCCUCGGGGCCAAAUGAGAAGGGAGGGGUGGGAAGGGAAACAAAGGGAGGGAAAAGAAAAUUUUUAAAAAGAAAAGGAAAGCACACAGGAGAGUGUCUCAGAAGCACUUCUUAAAAUCUGUUAAAUGACAAAAAAGCGAUCAAGUAAAUUUAAAGAUCUAAUUGGCUUUAUUAAGCAUUCCAAAAUUGCGCAUCAUCCCCUCUAGAAAGUACAGGGGUCACUGAACUGCAGAAGAGACUUUUAAAGGUACGGAAGGAGCAGGAAAAAGGAUAUCAGCAGAUUCCAUUGUUUUAAGCAAGGUCACCCUCCUAAGGGGAACAAAAGGGACCUACGGGUAAAUUUCCUAGUGCUGAGCAGGAAAUUCCAUGUUUACAGAGUAAGGUUAUAUCCUGAGGGCUGGAACUACAGUUAGUUUAGUUAAUACCCAAACUUAAUACGUCUUGGUUUGCUGACACAGAGCCAUUAACAUGAGUGACUCCGUCAUUGGCUUGUGCUUUUCUUUUUAACAAUUCUCCCCUUAUGAUCAGACUCUGCUUAACUGAGAGAUGUGAUCAGAAUGUGAGGGCAGUAGAGCCCCUCUCAGCUACCGCUCUGAGAUUCCCACAGGAUUUGUCGAUCCUGUGUGUGGUGGUGUAAGUCCGGGGAGAGGAAAUCUCGGGGAAAAAUACCUCUAAAAACCGAAAUCACUCAAAGGGAGAAAUAAAGUUUAAAACCGG